CCUACGGGGUGCACCAGUGGGGAAUAUUGCACAAUGGGCGCAAGCCUGAUGCAGCCAUGCCGCGUGUAUGAAGAAGGCCUUCGGGUUGUAAAGUACUUUCAGCGGGGAGGAAGGGAGUGAGGUUAAUAACCUUAUUCAUUAACGUUACCCGCAGAAGAAGCACCGGCUAACUCCGUGCCAGCAGCCGCGGUAAUACGGAGGGUGCAAGCGUUAAUCGGAAUUACUGGGCGUAAAGCGCACGCAGGCGGUCUGUCAAGUCGGAUGUGAAAUCCCCGGGCUCAACCUGGGAACUGCAUUCGAAACUGGCAGGCUGGAGUCUUGUAGAGGGGGGUAGAAUUCCGGGUGUAGCGGUGAAAUGCGUAGAGAUCUGGAGGAAUACCGGUGGCGAAGGCGGCCCCCUGGACAAAGACUGACGCUCAGGUGCGAAAGCGUGGGGAGCAAACAGGAUUAGAUACCCUCGUAGUC
rnacentral:rRNA from 1 species